GGCUAUAGCCCACCCGGUUUUUGCCCAUUUUUCCGGUGGGGGGUCUUGGCGCCCCGACCUUCGAGGGCUGAUUUUUGGGCGCGGCUGUGCCCGUGGCCUAUUUUUGGCACACGGAGGCCACCCGCAAAGUCUGGGGCCAUUCCGAGUCCGGCGGACGAACUUCGCCCACGCCCCCCACCAAGGCUAUAGCCCACCCGUUUUUUGGCCAUUUUUCCGCUGGGGGGUCUUGGCGCCCCGACCUUCGGGGGCUGAUUUUUGGGCGCGGCUGUGCCCGUGGCCUAAUUUUGGCACACGGAGGCCGCCCGCAAAGUCUGGGGCCAUUCCGAGUCCAGCGGACGAACUUCGCCCACGCCCCCCACCAAGGCUAUAGCCCACCCGUUUGUUGGCCAUUUUUCCGCUGGGGGUUCUUGGCCUCCCGACCUUCGGGGGCUGAUUUUUGGGCGCGGCUGUGGCCGUGGCCUAUUUUUGGCACACGGAGGCCGCCCGCAAAGUCUGGGGGCAUUCCGAGUCCGGCGGACGAACUUCGCCCACACCCCCCACCAAGGCUAUAGCCCACCCGUUUUUUGGCAAUUUUUCCGCUGGGGUGUCUUGGCGCCCCGAUAUUCGGGGGCUGAUUUCUGGGCACGGCUGUGCCCGUGGCCUAUUUUUGGCACACGGAGGCCGCCCGCAAAGUCUGGGGCCAUUCCGAGUCCGGCGGACGAAGUUCGCCCACGCCCCCCACCAAGGCUAUAGCCCACCCGUUUUUUGGCCAUUUUUCCGCUGGGGGGUCUUGGCGCCCCGACCUUCGGGGGCUGAUUUUUGGGCGCGGCCGUGCCCGUGGCCUAUUUUUGGCACACGGAGGCCGACCGCAAAGUCUGGGGCCAUUCCGAGUCCGGCGGACGAACGUCGCCCACGCCCCCCACCAAGGCUAUAGCCCACCCGUU
rnacentral:lncRNA from 1 species